UACGGGGGGGCAAGCGUUGUUCGGAAUUACUGGGCGUAAAGGGCGCGUAGGCGGGCGAGCAAGUCUCUCGUGAAAUCCCACGGCUCAACCGUGGAAUGGCGGGAGAUACUGCUUGUCUUGAGUCCGGGAGAGGAGAGUGGAAUUCCCAGUGUAGCGGUGAAAUGCGUAGAUAUUGGGAGGAACACCGGUGGCGAAGGCGGCUCUCUGGACCGGUACUGACGCUGAGGCGCGAAAGCUAGGGGAGCAAACGGG
rnacentral:rRNA from 1 species